UACGAAGGGGGCUAGCGUUGUUCGGAAUUACUGGGCGUAAAGCGUAUGCAGGCGGAUCGUUAAGUCGGGGGUGAAAUCCCGAGGCUCAACCUCGGAACUGCCUUCGAUACUGGCGAUCUUGAGUCCGGGAGAGGUGAGUGGAACUCCGAGUGUAGAGGUGAAAUUCGUAGAUAUCAAGAGGAACACCUGCGGCGAAGGCGGGUUGCUGGGCCGACACUGACGCUGAGGCGCGAAAGCCAGGGGAGCGAACGGG
rnacentral:rRNA from 1 species